UACGAAGGGGGCGAGCGUUGUUCGGAAUUACUGGGCGUAAAGGGCGCGCAGGCGGCUCUUCAAGUCAGGCGUGAAAGCCCCGGGCUUAACCUGGGAAUUGCGCUUGGGACUGCAGGGCUAGAGUUCGGAAGAGGCGAGUGGAAUUCCUGGUGUAGCGGUGGAAUGCGCAGAUAUCAGGAGGAACACCAAUAGCGAAGGCAGCUCGCUGGGACGAUACUGACGCUAAGGCGCGAAAGCGUGGGGAGCGAACAGG
rnacentral:rRNA from 1 species